rnacentral:rRNA from 10 species
AAUCCACACGACUCUCGGCAACGGAUAUCUCGGCUCUCGCAUCGAUGAAGAACGUAGCGAAAUGCGAUACCUGGUGUGAAUUGCAGAAUCCCGCGAACCAUCGAGUCUUUGAACGCAAGUUGCGCCCGAGGCCUUUCGGCUGAGGGCACGCCUGCCUGGGCGUCACGC